CAGCUGUGAGCAGCCGAGCGCCCAAAGCAGCAGCAACGUUGAUACUGGCGUCGGAACCGGAGAGCGCAAGUUUACACACGGACCCCAAUCCCCGUGGAAAUGUGACUUUCUGCGUUACAUAUAAGUGUGACUACAAGCUGGAAAUGCAGUAAAUUUCCAUCCCUCCCUCGUAAAGAAGCAUUACGUCCCACUUCUUGCAAACAGAGAACCAUGGAAACAGCAAACACUGUAGAAAGUGGUCCUCCAUGUUUCCUUUUUAAUGAUUGUCUCUUGAAAAAUGCAUCAUGAAAGGAAGAAGAGGAGAAGCACAAAUAAGGUUUGAGAAGAGCUGGUGAGCCUCCAGAGGGGAAGAGAUGGGAGA
ensembl:lncRNA